AAGCUCGUAGUUGGAUUUCUGUUAAUAAUUUAUAUAAAAUAUUUUGAAUAUUUAUAUAACAUUAACAUAAUUCAUAUUACUAUAUAUUUUAGUAUAUGAAAUUUUACUUUGAGAAAAUUAGAGUGCUUAAAGCAGGCAUAUGCCUUGAAUACUCCAGCAUGGAAUAAUAUUAAAGAUUUUUAUCUUUCUUAUUGGUUCUAAGAUAAGAAUAAUGAUUAAUAGGGACAGUUGGGGGCAUUUGUAUUUAACAGUCAGAGGUGAAAUUCUUAGAUUUGUUAAAGACAAACUAAUGGGAAAGCAUUUGCCAAGGAUGUCUUCAUUAAUCAAGAACGAAAGUUAGGGGAUCGAAGACGAUCAGAUACCGUCGUAGUCUUAACCAUAAACUAUGCCAACUAGAGAUUGGAGGUUGUUCCUUACUCCUUCAGCACCUUA
rnacentral:rRNA from 1 species